rnacentral:rRNA from 2 species
CAGCCACAACAGCCCGCUGGCUCGCACGGGGUGCUCUUCAUCGAGUGUCCCGCGUGGCCGGCAGAGUUUACUUUGAAAAAAUUAGAGUGCUCAAAGCAGGCUACACUGACGGCCUGAAUGCCUAUGCAUGGAAUAAUGGAAUAGGACCUCGGUUCUAUUUUGUCGGUUUUCUGAACCCGAGGUAAUGACUAAUAGGAACAGGCGGGGGCAUUCGUAUUGCGACGCUAGAGGUGAAAUUCUUGGACCGUCGCAAGACGAACUACUGCGAAAGCAUUUGCCAAGGAUGUUUUCAUUAAUCAAGAACGAAAGUUAGAGGUUCGAAGGCGAUCAGAUACCGCCCUAGUUCUAACCAUAAACGAUGCUGACCAGCGAUCCGCCGGCGUUAUUCCCAUGACCCGGCGGGCAGCUUCCGGGAAACCAAAGUCUUUGGGUUCCGGGGGAAGUAUGGUUGCAAAGCUGAAACUUAAAGGAAUUGACGGAAGGGCACCACCAGGAGUGGAGCCUGCGGCUUAAUUUGACUCAACACGGGGAACCUCACCAGGCCCAGACACCGGAAGGAUUGACAGAUUGAGAGCUCUUUCUCGAUUCGGUGGGUGGUGGUGCAUGGCCGUUCUUAGUUGGUGGAGCGAUUUGUCUGGUUAAUUCCGAUAAC